CUUCACUGUACAACAAUAAUCACGCCUAAAUCUUGAUCGUCUUCACUCGUUCGAAUUCUCACCUUCUACUUUUUCCUCGUUCGAUUCCAGUUUUCAAUGGCGUUGAACUAAUUCAAUUCGUCUCUUACAUUGUCUUCGUCGCGUUGCCCUUGACGGUCAUUUCCAGAUCCCGCCAUGGAAGCCCGAUGUGAGCAUCGAAACGAGCUCCUUGAUCAGAGCGGCGGUGCGGCCGAUCGGUUCGUUUCCGAUGAUUCUACUGCGGACUACUGGUCGAUGCUUCUGCUGUACCAAUGGAUUCCACUUUUGGCCAUAAGUUUGGUUUAUGCUUCUGCGGUACCAAUGGAUGCUUCUGCGUUACUGCGGAGAGGUUACCAUCAGUCAUUCGCUGUCGGAUCCUGCCUUAAGGCACUCCAAGGAUGGUAGCAGCCCUAGUUUCUGGAUACAUUAUGCAGGUAUUUAUUUCUGACAUUCUGCUCUUGAUUUCUAAUUAUUUCCUUUACUUAGUUCAUUAUCAAAUUCAUUUGUAUGCAUUCUAUGAUGCUCAAGCUCAUAAAUAUCAGUCCAAGCAUUGGUUUUUUCUCUGUUCUGUUAUUCCAAAAGGAAUUGUCAAAACAUUGUAACCCUAUUAAGUAUUCUAUUUAUAAUUCUUAUUUUACCUCGCAA